UGGGGAAUAUUGCACAAUGGGCGCAAGCCUGAUGCAGCCAUGCCGCGUGUAUGAAGAAGGCCUUCGGGUUGUAAAGUACUUUCAGCGGGGAGGAAGGGAGUAAAGUUAAUACCUUUGCUCAUUGACGUUACCCGCAGAAGAAGCACCGGCUAACUCCGUGCCAGCAGCCGCGGUAAUACGGAGGGUGCAAGCGUUAAUCGGAAUUACUGGGCGUAAAGCGCACGCGGGCGGUUUGUUAAGUCAGAUGUGAAAUCCCCGGGCUCAACCUGGGAACUGCAUCUGAUACUGGCAAGCUUGAGUCUCGUAGAGGGUGGUAGAAUUCCAGGUGUAGCGGUGAAAUGCGUAGAGAUCUGGAGGAAUACCGGUGGCGAAGGCGGCCCCCUGGACGAAGACUGACGCUCAGGUGCGAAAGCGUGGGGAGCAAACA
rnacentral:rRNA from 1 species